AGGAUUUUAGUUAAAUUUAUAACAUUUAAAUUGCAUUUAAAAUUUAUUUUUUAUUUAAAAUAUAUCUUU
rnacentral:tRNA from 1 species